rnacentral:rRNA from 1 species
UACGUAGGGUGCGAGCGUUAAUCGGAAUUACUGGGCGUAAAGUGUGCGCAGGCGGCGCCGCAAGCGAGUGUGAAAUCCCCCGGCUUAACCUGGGAACUGCGUCUGAUACUGGAAGGCUUGAGGAUGGGAGAGGGAUGUAGAAUUGCCGGUGUAGCGGAUCGAAAUGCGUAGAUAUCUGGAGGAAUACCGGUGGCGAAGGCGGCAUCCUGGACCAUUACUGACGCUGAGGCGCGAAAGGCUAGGGGAGCAAACGGG